GGGUGCGUGGCGCAAUGGCUAGCGUGUUUGGCUUCGAUGCUUACGUAAUUGCUACCAUACCAAAAGGCUGCAGGUUCGAGUCCUGCCGUGCUCA